rnacentral:rRNA from 1 species
UACGUAGGGUGCAAGCGUUGUCCGGAAUUAUUGGGCGUAAAGCGCGCGCAGACGGUCCUUUAAGUCUGAUGUGAAAGCCCACGGCUCAACCGUGGAGGGUCAUUGGAAACUGGAGGACUUGAGUACAGAAGAGGAAAGUGGAAUUCCACGUGUAGCGGUGAAAUGCGUAGAGAUGUGGAGGAACACCAGUGGCGAAGGCGACUUUCUGGUCUGUAACUGACGUUGAGGCGCGAAAGCGUGGGGAGCAAACAGG